rnacentral:rRNA from 1 species
GUGGGGAAUCUUAGACAAUGGGGGAAACCCUGAUCUAGCCAUGCCGCGUGAGCGAUGAAGGCCUUAGGGUUGUAAAGCUCUUUCUGCUGGGAAGAUAAUGACGGUACCAGCAGAAGAAGCCCCGGCUAACUACGUGCCAGCAGCCGCGGUAAUACGUAGGGGGCUAGCGUUGUUCGGAAUUACUGGGCGUAAAGCGCGAGUAGGCGGACCAGAAAGUUGGAGGUGAAAUCCCAGGGCUCAACCUUGGAACUGCCUUCAAAACUCCUGGUCUGGAGUUCGAGAGAGGUGAGUGGAAUUCCGAGUGUAGAGGUGAAAUUCGUAGAUAUUCGGAAGAACACCAGUGGCGAAGGCGACACACUGGCUCAUUACUGACGCUGAGGCGCGAAAGCGUGGGGAGCAAACAGGAUUAGAAACCCCAGUAGUCC